CGCCCACGAGCCACGUCGGGCGCUGGCGAUCGAGCCGACGGGCGAGCGGUCGGCGCGCUCGUCCGUUCGAGCCGGGCAUGCGCGCC
rnacentral:tRNA from 1 species